UCACCACUUGCAUAAAACAGAAGGAACAAAUUCCUCGAUCCCUCUUCUAACACAGAAGCAAUGGGAUGUUCAAAUGCACCAUGUCGAAAUCUCGCGGGAACGUUUUUUAUUCGAACUUGAGGAUCUUGAGAGAUUCUCUUUCUCAAGAUGCAUACUCUUGAGAAGAGAUUACAUGAAGCAUGUAGGAUAAUUAGCAAUGGUACAGGAAACAUCCUUUAUUCUCUUCCAAGAGCAAGCAAAAGAGAAAUCUUUGGGGAUCUGAGAGUGAAAUACCCGUACAGCUAAACCAAGUCAAGUCAAACAGGUCAACGCUUAAACAUCAUGAAGUUUUCAAGAGGAGGAUUUUUCAUCUUGGCAGUUGUCUGCCUUGCUGUACUAACAGAAUGCGCACCACGUCUAAGGAGCCCGCGCCAUAUCAGAAAACCAAGAGGCUCAAUCAACGGUUUCUACUGGAACAAAAAACUUCCCGUUGGCUUCGUCAUCAACAACGUCAAAGCAGACAACAAGCAAUUCAAGCGCAGCGUUGGCAGUGGUAGUGGCAGCGGCAGUGGUAGUGGAAGCGGUGCUAAGGCUUAAAUAAAUGCUGACUUUCUCGUAAUAUUGAUAGCUAACGUGUGAUAGUCAAAUUGACAUAAAAGAAAACGAUGGAAAUAAGAUCUAAUAUUUAUGUUAGUUAUAUGACGAUGCGUCGUAUUGUAAUGGAGUUUAAUACAUUAUAAAAAUAUGAGUACAGUGUAAUAGCGAAUACAUUAACAAUAAUAGUUAUAAUCAUAAUCAUAAU